rnacentral:pre_miRNA from 1 species
UGUUUAGAGGUCCCUAAAAAAAUCCUCUCUGUAGAACAAAUUUCAGAUUUUACACUACGGAGAGGAUUUUUUAUGGGACCUCUAAAC